GACAUUGAUCUAUCAUAAUCCACAACACGUGAACCAUUGACUGUUGGCCUCUCAACGCAAGUUGAGGCAGAGCCGUUUGCCCUAACAGGCAGGCGGCACUGGGCCUGGCUUCGGCUGGGCUGGUCUUACUAACCAACCAACACCAAACCAUAACUUCUAAAGCGAGUAGGUUGUCUGGCUUAGAGCCAGCAAUCAUUAACCAAGACAACUCUCAACAACGGAUAUCUUGGCUCUCGCAACGAUGAAGAACGCAGCGAAAUGCGAUACGUAGUGUGAAUUGCAGAAAUACGUGAACCAUCGAAUCUUUGAACGCAUAUUGCGCUCGAGGCUUCGGCCAAGAGCAUGUCUGCCUCAGCGUCGCUUUAAACCCUCACCCCCUAAUCCCUAGGAUUAGUGGAACGGUGGAACUGGCUCUCCCAGCAUUCAGUUGCUGGGUUUGCUGAAGAGCAGAGGUUGAUGCAUGGACCCGCUAAUGGGCCUCAGCUGGGUAGGCAAUUCGUUGCUAAUGCUUUAGCUGUUGGCUUGGGACUGUGCUGUCGACCCAAACCAGGAAAGCCGCUUGCGGCUCCUUCUGCUUUCGACCUGAGCUCAGGCAAGAACACCCGCUGAACUUAAGCAUAUCAAUAAGCGGAGGAAAAGAAAUAAACCAGGA
rnacentral:rRNA from 1 species